rnacentral:rRNA from 1 species
AAGCUCGUAGUUGAAUUUCGGGGUUAGUAGGUUGGUCAUGCCUCUGGUAUGUACUGGUCUCACUGAUUCCUCCUUCCUUAUGAACCGUAAUGCCAUUAAUUUGGUGUUGCGGGGAAUUUGGACUGUUACUUUGAAAAAAUUAGAGUGUUUAAAGCAAGCUAACGCUUGAAUACAUUAGCAUGGAAUAAUGAAAUAGGACGUUCGAUCUUAUUUUGUUGGUUUCUUAGGAUUGACGUAAUGAUUAAUAGGGAUAGUUGGGUGAGCGGGCUGGCAAGGC